UCCAAUGGCCGAAAUAGAACAAGGUCAUAAUCUUCUUCCUUCUCGGUCCAUGAGAAUUGCAGAUAUCGUAUUCCAUCCAGUGCCCACAAAGCUCGAUUUUAGGAUGCAUUUGACGACCUGCAGCAAUGGAUUGCCUGAUACGCGAUAAAUCCUACCUCGCGAAGGUAGGUUUUUCCUCUGACUAUUUGAUUAUUUUUCCUGAAGAGAUCUAAUGCUUCGGAAACAGAGCUUCUGCAAUGGAUUAAGAGCGAUGCGAAAGAGCUUUGGAAAUGCCGUUUUCUAGGUAUUCUUUUUCGUAUCAAAGAUUUGUUUUAACUGUGAGGGAGGAAAGAAAGAAGAAGCAGCAGAAUUGGUGUAAAGAAUAAAGAUGGCCGGAGAUCGGGGAAAGGGAGAUCGACAGAUUUGACCGCUCUCUAAGGCCUUGAGGCGGAACGAAGCGUUCCACAUGAAAACUGAGAGAACUUGGUUUAGCUUCUCUAGUUCGCCCUUUGUCAUCGCUGGCGAGAUCAGAAAGAGAAGAAAGGGUGGGCGACGAUACAUCGAGUAACUUUAAUCAUAUUUGUUUCUUCUGCUGCAGCGACUCUAGCAAUCGAGCUGCGUAUAGAAUAAAUUUUGGAAUUGAAUGAAUUUUACAGGCGUAGAGAAUAAAUUUUGGUUUGGGGAUGGCAAAAUUGGGUUUGAUCUCUUGGUCAGUUUAUGAUGGAGGUUGCUAUGUCCUAGAAGAAGAUAAUUCCACCUAAGUUUGGAAAGUGAAGGACUCCAUUCAUGAUAAUUGAAAUAAAUUCAGAACAACCUGCCUGAGGUGGGGCUAGUGCAAAGAACUCACUGGGAAAGGUGCAAGUAAAUCUACUAUGCCGUGAAAAGUAAUCAUAUGGUAAGCUGAUUUUACUGCUACUAUACUGCCAUGUAACUGUCUCCAAUUUGCAGACUCAGAUGAGAUUGUAUAUGGCAAAUGAUGCAAAUUUUGAAGCAUACUGAAUGAGACAGGCUUAUCAUAUAAUAGCCGAAGAGAAAGAUGGGUGGAUUUGAGCUCUUAAAUCCUGACAAGCUUAUUAGCACAUACUAGGUAUAGAUCUGGAAAGAGGCUUCUCACCACAACCCCCAUGUCCAUUCCCAGAGCAGAAAGGAAAUUCUGAUCAUCUAGAUUCCCCCUCAAUGAUUCUCAACAUGCAAAAAUCCCAAACAUUCCAGGUAUUCUUCUAUGAGAAAUUUUCCGUUCUCUUUUGCUGCACAAAUUUUCUGAGGUUCACUCAGAUCAAAGCUGAUGAAGAUAAAAUUUUGAAGAAUUUUUGCUAUGCUGUAUUCACUGAAUUAACUUAAAAUCAGGUUGUCAAACAUUUCUGACCUCAAAUUUACUCCCACUUCUCAGGAUCUUUAACUUUGGAUUUAUGUAAAAGUUUCUGAAUGAUAAUUAAAGCUGUUGAUAUUAAUUUCCACCUUCUCCAUGUCUUAUCAUAGAAUGACAGGCUGUAUGGAGACUCCAUAUGCCACCUUGGAGUUUCUAGCUCGCUUAAUGUUAUGUGUCUCUUUGCUACAUCAACAAUCACCAUCGGCUCCAUGUCAGCAAUGAAGAGGAGUAAUGCCAGGGGCGCAUUUUUAACAAUUGCAUUUUAUGUUGUCCCAGUUAUAUUUUUUGUGGUUUUAAUUUGAAGAAGUCACCAACCAUAAUGCAAUUGGAUUUAGCUAUGAGAGUCCAUCAUGACUAAGGGAUUAAGAAUAAAUUUAUUUAUUAGGAGCCAGACCAAGUUUAUAGAAAGAAAUUGUGUAUUCUAUAUAUUUGUAAUGUUUUUUUUAAAAAAAAAAACAAUAUUAAGCAUGCUUAAUCCAAGUAAUACUUUCUUUAUCCUCCAAGAAGAUUCAGAUUACCUCUCUUCCCCUUGACUAAUUGAAGGUGAUUUUGUGUUCUCUCUAUCAAUGAACAUUAUUUAUCCUCAUCCUUUGCUGUCUAACAUUCAAAGCAAGCCCGGUUGCAUAAAUUAAACGAGUUUGCAGGUUGACCAUCACCUCCCCCAUCUUAUGUCUUUAUUGGCAACUCCUAAGAUGUACACUUUCUGCUUGUUUUUUAGAUUACCUAUCAAAAGCCCUUAAUCUCUCAUUUUCUGAUGAAAGCAAAAUUUUAAUCUAAGACCUUAGCGACAACUUCUAAGGUCCUCACCUACUAAGCUAGUUGACACUUUAUUCAGCUGUUUCUCAUCUGGACUAAUUGCAUUUUUCCUGAAUAUACAGAAGAAUAAUGCAUCUACAAAUUGAAUGCAAUGGAAUACAAAUUGUAUAUGUGUAGUGGUGUUGGAAACAGCACCCUAGUUAAGGCAAAUAUUUUCAGAUAUAUCUCAAUAGAAGUCAAUUAGAACAUUUUGCCUCGGGAAGCAGUUAGUCUAUUAAUAAACAGAUUAACUGUGUUGAGGUUCCUACUUGAAAGCUUAAAUUUAAUAAUUUUUAAGAUUUUUUUUGUAUAAUAUUGGCUUGUCAUCGGAUCAUUCAAUCUGCCCAUGUUCUAUUGGCAAAUGAUCAUUGUUUCAUUGGAUGGUGUCAUGUAUUCUAAGGACACAAGAUAGUUUUGUUUAUAAAUGGCAUAAGUUUUGAAAGUGGAAUAUAUAUUGUUCUAAUUUUGUGCUGUUUCAUACUUGUACAUCGGUUGUUUUUGUUAAUUGUGGUUUUACUAAUCCUCACAAUGAUAUGCAGUUUUGUGUUGAUAUCUUAUAUGCAAAGGUUCAUAAUUUUGAAUUAUUGGACUUGUUAAGUAGCAAAUCUGACAGUUUGUAGGAAUCUUUGCAUACUAGGAUCAUUACCCUUCUCCAACUUUGCCAAGAUUGUGAUGUACUCCCUAUUUUGUAUAUGCAAUUAGUAUCUCUUUUAUAAAUAAUGACCGUCAUGUUCCUGCAAGUCAAGUUUUCUUCUCUUCCUCUUUCGUGUAAUCUUCAAUUUGAAUUCUUCACCAACAUUUUUAGUGGUAAUUUGUAUCUUCAUGAGCCACUUCUGCGAGUGCAAUUGAAAAUUUAAAAAAAAAAUCCAACAAACUCCACCUUAUCGUCCAUGGUAUUGAAUAUUUUCUGUAGUUGACCACUUUUUUGCAGAUACGAGGAUGAAAAUGAAUAGUCAGUAUUUGGUGAUACUUUGGAAAUGGCAAUCUGUUACUACUUUAAAUGCUAAGAUCACACUAGAUUCAACUAAUCUUGUUGCCUGAAUCAAUCACGGUAUAUUGAAUGGAAGUGGACCAUUACCAUUGUACAUCUACUUUCAUUAUAAAUAUUGGAGACUGGAUGCAUACCCACAGAUCUGUUAUUUCAGGAGACACUGUGAAUUCAGGUUCUGUUUAUAUUCUGCUUUGAACUCGUAUGUAGUUUGUAACUUACUCUCUUCUUAUACAGUAGGAUUUUGUUUUUGUCUCCAUUGAUGUAUAACCACAUGUAUCUUGAACAUUCUCGCAGGCAGUAUCCUACAUUUCCUUUUCAAUCUCUGUGGUGAAAAAAAAUGAAAUUGAUAGGUAAGUGGGGGACCGAGACAAGCUGCCGUGAGGCUGCCAGUGGAGAUGGGAGGUUGGUGGAUCAAUUCUGGCUAGAUGGAAUGAAGCUUGAUAGGGAUAAAGAGAGAAUGAAUGGAAUGAGUGGCCUGGCAGUCAGGUCGAGCACGAUGAUGCAGACAGGAAAGCGACAGGUUGGCGAUAGCAACAGGACAGCGACUUCCUUGUCAGCUCGACUAGGGAAACUGGUCCACAAGCAAGACACUUCCGGAUAUAUCUCCAUGGAACAGUGCAGUUGUCACCGCAGUAGGAGUGCAAGAAAGAACGUGUGACAGAAUGACAUAAAAUAUGGAAACGAGUGGCUGUUUCUGAACAAUUGAAUGAAUGAAUGAAUGAAUGGUUGGAAUUUUCA